rnacentral:misc_RNA from 1 species
UAAAUUCUUCUUUGCAGCGCGCAAUCAGUUCGAGACGAGAUAACAGACCAAAUAGAUUCAUCCUCGGUUCAACAACUAUUUACGGUACGACACAACGCUAAGGUUCAAAAUUUUACAUACAUACAUAUGUAUGUACAUACAAACCUCUUGUUUUGUUAGCAACGAAAGAGUUACAUAAGAAAAGUGCAUUUAAUAUAAAGAGCAAAGGGUAAUUGAAACGCGUUGAAAAGUGCUUUAAAAUUUAAAAAAGAAAUUGUGAAUUGAAAAAAUUUUCAACAAACAAAAGAUACACACACAAUCCACGAAGGCACGAAGUGAGAGCCAGUGAGACGAAGGCGGCAGCAGAGGGUGAGCGCAAAGCGAACUACAACAAUAACACUGCAUACUGUUACUGUAAAAAACAAAAUCAUUAAAACACACAACCCCACACAUACAAACAUACAUACACAGGCGAAACUUCGUGGUCCUCAGUGCGACGCAUUCCUUCGCAUUAUAGAACUCGUCUUCUGUAAGGGGUGUUCCUUAUCGUCGCUGCGCAUCGCAAUCCCCCCACCGCAUCCUUUAAAGCGCACAGCACGGAAGUAAAACACACACUCCUACAUACCAGCAAACGAGCGCAUUAAUACACACCACACACACUCGCAUAAUAAACGCUGAGUGCCGAGCAGCAAGUCAAUAUGGCGGAUAUUUUGGAGAAAAGCUCCGUGCCACUGGAAGCUGCAUCUACUGUUAGUAAUGGCACGGCAGCGACAGAGGUCGCAGCAGCAGCAGCAGCUGGCGCAACAACAAUAAGAACAGAGUCAACCACAGGCAUACCGGCACAGCCGAUUGCCGCAACAACAGUGAAUGACUCACACUCGCCGCUGUUGUUGAAGGAGCAACAGCGUCAACAGGAGCAAAUCUACCAACAACAGAAGGAGCAACAGCAGUCGGCCGCUGUAACAGCCUCACCAGCAGUAGCAGCACCACCAGUGUCGGCUUUGGAUGUUAAGCAGGCGCAACCCGAGCAGAAAGAGGGGGACAAUGACAGCGGUGUUGAUGAGUCUACUCAAGAGAAGGAACGCAACGGUCCAGGUUCACCAAGCUCUCCGGCUAAGACCCCGACGUCCACCACUUCAAAGGGCGAGAAGACUGGCACCUCUCGUCCGCCGAGCGCAACACCAUCGAACAAAUCGUCCAAAUCACGUUCGACAUCACGAAAUCGCUUGUCAUUGAAGACUCCCGAACCGGAGCCAGUUAAAAAAGUACCAAUGAAUAAAAUACAAGUCGGUCACGCUCCUUCGCCCAAUCUCAAAGCCGUGCGUUCCAAAAUUGGUUCGCUGGAUAAUGCUGGCUAUAAACCGGGUGGUGGGAAUGUCAAAAUCGAAAGCAAGAAGAUCGAAAUAAAAGCCGCGCCCAGAAUUGAGGCGAAAAAUGACAAGUAUACGCCACGCGGCGGAGAAAAGAAGAUCAUUUCGACAAAGCUACAGUGGAACGCCAAGUCGAAAAUUGGCUCCUUGGAGAAUGCCAAUCACAAGCCGGGUGGUGGCGAUAAGAAGAUCGAAACAAUUAAAACGGACUUCAAAGACAAAGCCAAACCGAAAGUCGGUUCGAAGGAUAAUGUUAAGCACGCUCCGGGCGGUGGUGAUAUUAAGAAAUCGCAAAUCUUGAAGGAAAGCACAACCGCCAAGGAUAUACAAACUCAAAAGAUAGAACUUAAGGCACAAAGCAAAGUGGGCUCUUUGGAUAACAUUAAGCACAAGCCCGGUGGUGGGGAGCGAAAAAUUUUCGAUGAUAAGGACUAUCUGAAAAAUGUUGAGCAUACAGUUGCACUGACACCACCGACACAGGAAUAUUUAUAUACCUUUUACUGAAUAUGCAUAUGAAAUAUUGAACUGAUAGUCCCUAACUGUCAUGCGAAACUACCAAAACAAAAGUAUAUCUGCUAAAAUAUAAAUAUAUAUUCACACAACCAUCAACAACCAACGUCUUAAAGUCCACAACCAUCCAUGACGACUUCAACAACUGGUGCCGAUGAAAAUUUAAAUCAGCAGAGUUAAACAAAUUAAG